GAUCCUUCUUACCACCUCCUCCCAGUGCCCGGCGCCGCCCGACCUCCUCCCCACCACACCGCUGCUCGGCCUCCUCCCAGCACGCCUCUGGUCGGCCUCCUCCCCACCGCGCCGCCAACCGACCUCUUCCUCCCAACAUGCCGCCAGCCAGCUUCCUCCCAGCGCGCCUCCGGUCGGCAUCCUCCCCACCGCGCCACCGUCCGGCCUCCUCCCCACCGCGCCACCGCCCGGCCUUCUCCUCGAGUGCGCUGCCGCCCGGCCCUCUCCCCAUCGCUGGCAGCGUCUCCAUUCUGCUCCGGCCGGCUCUCUCCCUCCGACCACCAUAGCUCUAACCUCUCGCAUCUCGCACUGCCCCCAUGUGGUUGGAGCACCCUGUCCGUUCACAGCCACCACUUCAGGCCGUUCAACACCACCACCCGAAGCGGUUCACCGUAGCAGAACCCUGGAUCCCGCUUCCACCAUGUAUCUCUCCUCCUGCAGCAUGGCUCAGCUACUGUACUUGGUGGAGGGCAGAGCCUUUCCUCUCUGGAAUGCAAGUGUUCAUGAGGUAGGAGCAGAGAAGGAAGAUGGAAUCUGUUGGCUACGGUGGAGAAGAUGGUGAACUGUGGGAGUACUUCCCUUGCUCUUUCUGCUACAUCUAGGUCAAAAAAGCCCUUCAUCUGCAUCCAUCUGCGGCAGGAACACUGCUUUGACAUCAGGAACUCUGUGAGAGAGCCUCUCCUCUCUUUUCCUUUUGCCUUCUAAUCCCCAAGUGUUCGUUAUUGCAUAUUAGUUUUGAUCAAGACAUAACCUUGAGCUAAUAAAAUAUUCUUGCUGGAAAUGCAUUUACAAAAUUAUUGACAUCUUUUUGUUAGUAAGGCUGUAAGCAAUCUGGAGAUCCCUAGUAUGCCACUAUAUGUUUCUUUAUAGAAUCCCAAAUGGAUUAUAUAACUCCUGAUAAUAGAAUAAAUAUUAUGGAAAAAGCUCAAACACUAUCAUACGGUCAGUUCCAAAAAAUCUGACGAGCACUUGCAAUGUACAUAGUUUUUGCAGAAAAGAUUUCAAAAACUCAGGUUCACCAAUUUAAUGAAUUAUUAUAAGUUCAAUUUUGCUAAUAUCUACAGUUCUGGUUGAGGAAUUUAGGUAGUUCCCCCCACGGUCCUCUGUAUCCAGCACCGCUGACACGCAACCUCUUCUCUGGUUUCUCUUCAUUAUGACAUUCAGUUGCAGUUCAACAAAAAGAACAGGAGAAGUACAUACAUCUCUUUUCUCUCUACUGCUCUUUUCUCUCACUAAUUUGCUUCUCUGUACUGCAGCACGAGGAAGGUUGGACGGACUGCACAAAAAAAAGCUCAGUUCUACAGACAGCCCCCGCUACCCACAUGGACUACUUCCUCCGGUCCUCAUCCAGACGUAGAAUCUCAAUGAUCUAGCAGCAAGCCGUUCGACGUCGUAGCUCGAGAGGUGCCCGUUUCAGCUUUUCCCAACCUCCCCUGGACGUUCAUGCUCCUUCUCUUCAGUAUAUCCAGUUCAACAUCUGGUGGUUCUUCAGUUCAUCGUAGUGUGCAUAUUCACUUCAUCUUAUCGGGAAGCGAGGCACCUCCCGAAGGUCACCGUCAAAGAGCCUCUCUCCGCCACCACGCCUGAUAGUUGAACUUACACGGGAUUACCUGUGAUCAACCGCCCUGCCUCUACAAGCAGGCCCAUCGAGUACCCCUGGAAUCAGUGCGGAUUGGAGAAGGAGAACCAUCGAAAGUGCGAGUUCUGUGACGUCAUCAUUCGCCCAAGUACUUGCAUCAGCUCGUUGGAAUUGGUAUGUGUGCUUGUAACACAAUCUGUUCGGAUCUCGAGAGACCAUAAGUUUGUUGACAAAUAUGUAUAUUAGUUCAUAUCUCAAGAGUCCAUAAUUUUGUAAGGCCAGAAAAUGCAAUGGCUUAGUACAUCAUAGCAGCUCUCCGACGCAGAAAGGAUGGCUCUUCUCAACAACUUCAGGGUAGCUCAGUUAAUAUAGGAGCUGUGCAGUAAACAGCUUCAGUCGAGAAAUCAGCAAGUUGUAUGCAUAGUGUCUUCCAGGCACCAGUUUGUUGUUUCCUAAUCACCCUAAUUCCAAAAAUAUUCUACUCAACUUCGGCGCCAUGCUCAGUCCAACCACAUGGCUUCAGGGUGCUCGAGUUCGUCGCGACCAUCAGUUCAGAGACUCUGCCACUGCGUGUGUCGCAACCAUAGCCACCUGCGUCACUGCGUGCUCCGACAACAGCCUCCCGCGCAAGGAAAGGCAGCAGGAGUAGAGCCGUCUGAGAUGCUCUGUUCUAGCGAGGCGGCUUAUUAUGUUUGUUAGUUUGUAAUACUUUGGCCGCAAUGUACUUGUGUAUCUUUUUCUGAACGGAGCACGACCAGAGAUUAUGUCAUUAUGAACUAUGAUUGUGAUGGUACUACAAACUCUAUAAUAACACCACUAAUCCAUUUUUACUGUUACUUAUCUUUUAUACAAUUCACAUGGAUUGUGCUCCCUAUUACGAACUAUGGUAUAAAA